rnacentral:rRNA from 1 species
AUACAGAGGGUGCAAGCGUUAAUCGGAAUUACUGGGCGUAAAGCGCGCGUAGGCGGCUUAUCAAGUUAGGCGUGAAAGGCCUGGGCUCAACCCGGGAACUGCGCUUAAUACUGGUAGACUUGAGUCCGAGAGAGGGUGGCGGAAUUCCCAGUGUAGAGGUGAAAUUCGUAGAUAUUGGGAAGAACACCAGUGGCGAAGGCGGCCACCUGGCCCGGUACUGACGCUGAGGUGCGAAAGCGUGGGGAGCAAACAGAAUUAGAAACCCCAGUAGUCC